UACGGGGGGGGGGUAAGCGUUGUUCGGAAUUACUGGGCGUAAAGGCUCGUAGGCGGCCAACUAAGUCAUACGUGAAAUCCCUCAGCUUAACUGGGGAACUGCGUGUGAUACUGGAUGGCUUGGAUUUGGGAGAGGGAUGCGGAAUUCCAGGUGUAGCGGUGAAAUGCGUAGAUAUCUGGAGGAACACCGGUGGCGAAGGCGGCAUCCUGGACCAAUAUUGACGCUGAGGAGCGAAAGCCAGGGGAGCAAAAGCGGG
rnacentral:rRNA from 1 species